AUAAUAUAAUUCUUAGACUUGAAGGCUAACUCAUUAUCUUUUCUUGCUUUAGUUUUUUGCAUCCUUCAUAAGAUGAGAAAAUAGGAUGAAACACCUUUGUUAUUUUUCCGUCUCAAUUUAUGUGAUAUCAUUUAAAUUUUUGUUUUAUCCACAUUCCCCUUUUGCAAGUCAAACAAUCGGUACGCUUUCCGGCUCAAACAGACGGGGGCUUUCUAUUUACUUGCAAUGCCGAUUGUUUGCCUUUAGUUUGAAAUAGAAGUAGAGGGCGCCAUGUUUGUACUCCUUACC
rnacentral:lncRNA from 1 species